rnacentral:rRNA from 1 species
CUUAAAUGAUUUCUUCGGAAUGAACUUAAGUGGAUUAGUGGCGGACGGGUGAGUAACGCGUGAGUAACCUGCCUUACACAAGGGGAUAGCCGUUGGAAACGACGAAUAAUACCCUAUGAAACUAUCACUUCGCAUGAAGCGAUAGUCAAAGUGUUAGCGGUGUAAGAUGGACUUGCGUCUGAUUAGCUAGUUGGUGAGAAAAAAGCCCACCAAGGCAACGAUCAGUAGCCGGCUUGAGAGAGUGUACGGCCACAUUGGGACUGAGACACGGCCCAGACUCCUACGGGAGGUAGCAGUGGGGAAUUUUGCACAAUGGGGGAAACCCUGAUGCAGCGACGCCGCGUGAUUUAGAAGGCCUUCGGGUUGUAAAAAUCUUUUGUAUAGGAAGAAA